rnacentral:tRNA from 1 species
GCCUGGGUGGCUCAGUCGGUUAAGCAACCGACUUCAGCUCAGGUCAUGAUCUCAUGGUUCGUGAGUUCGAGCCCCUCCUCGGGCU